rnacentral:rRNA from 1 species
CGGCAAGAGCUCAAAUUUGAAAUCUGGAGCCUUUGGCUUCCGAGUUGUAAUUUGAAGAGGAUGCUUCGGUUGUGGCCUGGGCCUAAGUUCCUUGGAACAGGAUGUCGUAGAGGGUGAGAAUCCCGUACACGGCUACCGGCUUACUUCCAUGUGUAGCUCCUUCGAA